AUGAUUAUUUCAGAGAGAAGGCAAGGUCCAUUAUUUCAUUUUUUAGAGAAUUCUAGUCAUAGUGAAAUGCUCAGAGUGAAGAUGCUGGCAAGGAACAAAAUGGAAUUAAUAUCCAUUCAGUUCCCAUUGACUGCCAGAAAAUGGGAUAGAUGUCCUACAUGUUCAGAAUCUCAGGUGACUAUCAUAAGAACCUGGUCAAAAGGCCACCCUGGCAAACUAAGAACACAGAAUUUUAUUACAGCUGCUGGAUAUGAAGACUCAGCAUAUGAUAUCGGUGACGUUAACACCCUCCCAGGGAGAAGCGCUGUUCCUUCUGGCUGGGAAGUGCAAGCCGCCUGGCUAAUGUUAUCCAGAUGUAUCGAAACCUCAGGAGUGACAUGGAACGGUAGUCCCUGCUUGAACCACUUACCUGCUUUCCUGACACCAGCAAUCACACACACCUGACACUGACCUGAAGCCUCUGACCUGUCCUCGGAGGCAAAGACCGAGUAGACAAGAUGCCUGGUUACCAGCAAUCGUCUGCAAUUUCCUCUGAGCUAAUGAGAUUGCUUUUCUCUUUGCUCAAAUUAUGUGAGAAUAUUUUUUAAAAGAAUUUAAUGUGCUCUUUUGAUAUUUCAGGUGUUCAGUCAAAAGCCUAUGUUAUUCUCCAUCUCUCUCUCUCUCUCUUUUCCUAGUUGGGUAAUCAAAAUGGCACAACCAGAAAUAUUUAUAUCUGCAACAGAAAAGAAGAAUAAAUGUAUUCAUGCACAAGUACAUUAUAUAUGUAUAUAUGUUUGUGUAUACAUAUAUCUAUAUAAUUGAUAUAUUUGGGAGAAAUAAAAGGUUUCAUUAAGCACACAGGUUCUAGAGUUAGACCCUCUGUUGCAAAUUACUGUCCUGUCACUUAACUCCUGACAGAACAAAGUGCAUACUUGGACAAAAUGCCUGCUCUGUAAAAAUGCCUUGGUCUUGAAUAAAAUGCCUGCUACGUCAAAGCUUUUAUUUUCCCAUCUGGAGAAUGGGAACAAUAAUAAGAACCCUCACUUAACAGAUAAUGGACAAAGGUGCUUACAGCACAGAGCCUGCCACAGACAAUGUCCUCAAUUAAUGCAAACUAUUAAUAUUAUGAAAAGUGAAUAUCUGUUUUCUGACAAUGUUUUCAAUAAUAUAAAUUAUGCCUUUGUUCCCUUUAUUUGUUUGAAAAAAAAAACAAUAAAAAAGCAAACAAAAAAGUGUCUUUAAAGUGUCCAUUUGUCUUUCUUCUAGACUGCUAGUAAUCCUUUCCUGUGUUUAGGGAAUUUUUACCUCAUGGGUUUUGGUGAAUGAAUGAAUUCAUCUGCCUCUACAGAAAAGAAAAUGCCUGAUGCAUUUUCUCAGCCUUUAUUCCAGGUAGUCAGGUAGACUGUGGACUCCAGCAAUUAGACACACUCCUCACAACCUCCCCAUCACACACACACACACACACACACACACACACACACACACACACGGCUGCUGGAGUUGCAGGAUCUGGAAGGAACUGUCUGGCAGGGAUGGAGUGUGCAGGGUGCCUAGUGAGUUCCAGGGUGACUGUGGCUGCCCUAGCUGUGGCAGCACCAGGGCUCUAAGCCAGGUCCUGCAGACUGGCUCACCCUGCAGCAUGGGCGCCCUCUCCUCCUUCCCAUUCCCAGGACACAUCCUGUGCAGGGGAAGAACGGGUCCUUCUAGUUGUAGCCACAGGUCCGUUGGUCUGCUGACCUCCACCUCCUCAACAUUCAACUUCCCAGCAUUGAGUAUCUCAGAAAUGGUAUUUAUCAGAAAAGAGGGUGAACAGGGCAACUGCUUUAGGAGGAGCCCUCCGAGCCAGCUGCUUCCUCUCCUGUCUCCUAGGGAGAACCUAAGCUGUCAGAGUUCACACCUGUCCCACACCACACGAGCCAGAGCUGGA
ensembl:lncRNA